CUGAUAAUAAUUAUUUAAGGGCCGCAGUAUUUUGACUGUGCAAAGGUAGCAUAAUCAUUAGUCUUUUAAUUGAAGGCUUGUAUGAAUGAUUGGACGAGAUAUAAUCUGUCUCAUAAGAAAAUAAAUUAAAAUUUUAUUUUUUAGUUAAAAAGCUAAAAUAAUUUUAAAAGACGAGAAGACCCUAUAGAUCUUUAUAAUUUAUUUAUUAAUUUUUUUAGGUUAUUUUUUAAGUUUAUAAAUAUAAUUAUUUUGUUGGGGUGACAAUGAAAUUUGAUAAACUUUCAUUAAUUUUAUACAUUGAUUUAUGGCUAUUUGAUCCAUUAUUAUUGAUUAAAAAUUUAAGUUACCUUAGGGAUAACAGCGUAAUUAUUUUGGAGAGUUCAUAUCGAUAAAAUAGUUUGCGACCUCGAUGUUGGAUUAAGAUUAAUAUUGGGUGUAGCAGUUCAAUAUAUUAAGUCUGUUCGACUUUUAAUUUCUUACGUGAUCUGAGUUCA
rnacentral:rRNA from 1 species